CCACCAAAUAUUAAACCCUAGCCCUGGAAACCAACCUCCAAAUCAUUCUCUAAGAACAAGAUAAUUUAUCUCCCACUUUGAGUCUGUGGUCCCACCCCUCCUGUCUAGACAUCCAGGAGCUGGUGGCCCAUCCCUAGGCCAGGUCUUAGCCUUUAUCUCCCAGUGGCCACUUAUUCCUUCACAACCAAGAUCUAAAUCUGUGAUUAAGCCAGUUGGUUGGGCUAGGUGCCUGAGGAGUUUGGGGGAAGGAGGGACUGAACACCAACCUCAAGUGGCAAAGGGUGUCUGCUCCACUCUCCACACGCCCCACACACAUUCAAUCACAGCCUCAAGUUCAAAAGUGAAUUAAAACUCAAAGAAGCCUGGAUACAGGGACAAGGGGAGAGCAGUAAGAGAAAGAAAGAAGCAAACGAAAUUCCUGAAUGGAUAAGAGAUGCUACGUCAGCGGUACUGGAGCCGCAUCCUCCACUCCACAAGAAGAGAAGAGCAAGGAGAGACCAGCGGGCGGGCGGCAGCGGCAGUGGCCUCUCCGUGAGGUCGCACAGGAAAGAAGCAGCCAGCUGUCCAGAAGCAGCCUCCUCCUUGUUUGGUUUCUUCGGAUGUCAUCCUAGGUGACCGCGUCUCUGGCUUUGGGGUAUUUAUUUCCUUCCUUGCUUUGAUGGUGUUGUGGGUGGGGGAGGGAAAAAAAGGAAGCUAAUCCUGUUACAUCCCAGCUCUCCACCCCACUCGCUAUCUCUUCUAGUCUCCAGCCUUUGAUUUUUUGGUCCAUUUUGUAGCCAGACCUGCAUUGUCAAAGCAAUGCAAACAACAUGGCCUGGGGACAAAAGGCCACCCUGUGUCUGGUUCUGCACAGCGAGGAAAGCACCCUCCCUCUUCUUCCACAGCCCCCUGGGGAAGACAUGGAGGUCUUUGACUCUGAGGGAAGUGGUUAGUUUGAGAAGGAGACAGAAAUAGGAAUGAAUGGGCGGGCAGGGGUGAGGUCCUUAAGUAGCUGAGUGGGUACAUGCACCUUUAAGCAUUGGAAGACAAUACUGCUUAGCUUUCCAUGAAUUUACCACUGAAUCUGUCUGAGUUUAUGGGUGUGAGUGUGCAUGCCUGUGAUUGAGUGUGGGUGUGCUUUACACACUCAUGCUUUUGACCACAGAUAAUCUUAUGACAAAAGUCUGAUAUGAAUGACUGAGCUGACCCCUGCCAUCUUGGUCACCAUGUCUCCUCUCCCCGAUACUGUAGGACUAGGGCAAUAGGCAUGUGAGUUCUGCAGGGUUCAUCUCUGUGAGCAGACCAAGAGGAGCUGAGAAGGUAGCAUUUCCACAGGCUGGAAAUGCUCCCACUCCCAGAAAGGGUGUGUCCACAGUGGUCACCUCCUCUAAACCCAGUCCUGAGGCAUCCUAACCUCAUCUGUGUAUAUGGCAGCCUUAAAAACAAGCAAACAAAUAAACAACCCUGCCAUUUCUAACUGCUGUUACUUCUAUUUGUCCCAAUGCUAUAGACAUUGCAAGGCAUUCAGUAACGGAAUGGGGUUUAAUAGUAGCCACAGUAAUUAGCUUCUGUUGCAGAGAUAAGCUCACCCUCAGACGAAGCUCUGAGUGCAUCUCUAAGGCAAAUCCACCUUGCAAACAAGGACAAGCUAUGUUUUUAUUAUACUCGCUAAGCACACGUCCCUUUUGCACUACCUUACUAUUUCAUGAGAGUGCUUUCCUGCCAAAGUUUACACAGGGACUCAAAGGCCCUGUCCAGACAGCAUAACUGAGUCUGUGCUUCUGUUUCUGUAGGCCCCUCAGACACAGAGACAAUAGGUGGGCAGCUGUAUUGAUAGGGGACAUUGGCUUCAGUUGUAGCUGUGGCUCAAUGCUUGGGUGCUUGCCUAGUAAUGUAUUGAGUCCUGGAUUUGAUCCCGGGGACCCCCAAAGGAUGAAGGUUCCUGGAACACCCACAGACUCCUAUUAGCACAAGGAGUGGAAAUAUCCUUCCAAGAAGUACUCAGUGAGAUCCACAGGCCACCAGAGAGAGUAGAUUGCUUUGUGCUGGAGGAAAGAGAGGGCUCUGCUCCUUAGGAGACUGAGGUCGGUGAGCCAAUUGAGCCCUCUGGAACUAUUGUACCCAGCUUCGAGUCCUGCAGACUUGCUGUGUCCAGGACACAAGUCUGUUCUCUGUCGUCUCCUCUGACAUAAGUUUGUUUCUCAAAUAUUCUGCAUGAACCUUACCUACUUUUUUUCUUUGUGGAUGAAGGAUACAUCAAAGGGGAAAAAAAAACUUGUUCUUGAGGGCCACUUUUGAAGGGGUUUCUUGUUUAAACCUUGAAGAAUGUAGUGUACUAAUUUAUACCCAGAUUGAUCCCAGUUAAAAGGAGCAGAGGGUCCUCAGUCCUCUGCUUCUCUCCAAGCAUCAAGCCUAGCAAGGUCCCAUUUUCACUGGGGUGAAGGUACCAUUCACCUGCAUCUCUAAAGGAUCAGUGGGAAGCCAGCUUGUCCUGUGAACCCAGACAAAAAUUGUUUCCUCAGGAACUGGGCAGAGGCAGGCAUGAGUGCAGUGGGCUGUUCUUCUGUGGGUCACCUUCUCCUUAAUUUGGAUGCUGUUAGACUGAACUGCUCCUAAAAGCCCAAAGUCAAUAUAAAAGGCAGCAGGACUUUAUUCUGUAUCUGCUGUUUGAGGAACAUUUUUAGAACCCAGCAAAGUGUGCUCGUUUCUUCCUUAAGGUUAAUUUUGAGAAAGUCCAGUUGUAUCUGAAUUUGGCCAUUAGGAAUAUGGGGUGGGAGUGUACAUUGGGCAAGGAAACUUUUGCGUACUCUCCCCUUCCCAACAAAAAUACAACAGCGUCUGAGAAGAAAAGUUUGACUAGUCCAGCUGCCUUUUACCUCAAGGCUUGCAGGACUCUAGGGCAGGGGUCCCUGCAGAGGACAGGGAAUGCUAAAAAUUGGUGAGAAGGAAGGGAAACAUCUUACUGGCAGAUGAGCCUCUCUGAGGCUGACUCUGACCUCUAAACUUUUUGGUGUUGGGAAGGGAGGGUAAGGGGAGAAAGGGACUUUCGGGGUUUAAAAGCACUUUUGUGGAACGAGCAAAUCGAGUAAAUCAAUGCUCUUAGGAAGCCAGGCCAGCGCGUGUAAAGGAGUUAGUGUGGAUGCUGCUUGUGUGAAGGGGCAUGAGGUGGCAUGCAGACAGUCACAGGCUUGUGGGCAUGGGGAGAAACCCAGUAAAGGGCCUUACUGGAUGGGUUUAGGGACUGUAUUUAGCAUCAUAGCCAGAGGGAGGGCUGCCUAGAGAAUACUUGGGGGAAGGGCUCCCUUUUAUUCUGCAGCUGUACUAGAGCUCCAGGAGCCCCCAAACCCUCUGGGCACACCAUUCUGAGCUGUAAGGGUGUGGGGGUGUUGAAGGAAACUGUAUAGAGUGUCCCCUUCUUUCAGCCCCACCAUUGUACGUGGCUUAGUUCUGGCACAGCAAAAGCAUCUGAGCUGUGCCUCAUUCAACCUUGUAAUCUCAGCACUCAGGAGGCUGAGGCAAGAAGAUCAAAAUCCCCAAGCCGAACUGUGCUAAAGUGAGCUCAAGGCUAGCCUGAGCUAAACUUAGGGAGGCUGUGUCACAGAAUAAAAAGUAAAAGAGGUCUGGGGUAGAGGGCUUGCCCAGCCUAUGAGAGGCCCUGGGCUUGCCCUUUAGUACUUCAAUUAAUGAAUGAGCCACUCUCAGAAAAGAGCCUUAAGGCAAUGUAGAGGUUUGACAAAAAAGAAAAAAGAAAGAAAGAAGAUUAAAAAUAAAUAAAUAAAAUUCUGGCUGAACCUGGUCCUGAGAACGUCCUGAGACCUGGAGAGAUGUGACUAUUUGCUUCAGCUUGCUCUCAUCCUUCUGGUAGGGAAACAGCUUAUAGGUUUUCUCUCAUCUCAAGCCGGCCCCACCCGCAGCCAUGCAACCAGCAUCAAUAGCAAUGAACAUCCAGCCAUUCUCCUGUUAGGGGGAGAAGCACGAAGUUAAACCUAUUAGCCAUCACCUUCCGUCCAAGCAAGGCAAGCAGUACGCAGGUCGCAGGUCUGGUUUUGCCUUGGGCUAUUCAUGGGACUAACAGAUAGAUAUAGACGGGCCCAACGGUUAAAAUGAUGGUCCCCUGAGUGGACUGCUGGUGACCCAGGGUUUAAGGGUCCCUGGUUACAGGACCAGCAGGAUUUAGGAAUCUCAGCCAGUUUUAUAGAAAGGACCAGCAGAGGGUGAGUAGGAGGAUGAAGGAACAGCUCACUGGCACACACAGCAGCUCCUGGGCUCAUGGCUUGCUCUGAGAACUUUGGUGUAGCUAGAACCCAGAUGUUGCCCAACAGCAUCUGACUACUCCCUGGUGCUUUUCUGCUUCUUCAAUGGAGAGAAGGAUCUUCUGGCUGGACUAGCUAGAGAGCCAGGGGGAGAAAGUUGAGGAUGGGGAGGGACAGAGCUUUGCUGCAGGGUUAUCGUCCUUGGGGAACCCAGCUCCAGAGCUGGCACUGUGGUGCCUUGGAGCCUGGAGGAACAUGGGUAGAGGGAGAGACCUGUUAAAAAUCUCCAGGGCUUGGCCGAAUUCUGAGUCUCAAAAGCAGUUAGGAUUCUCAGCUGUGGUUUUCUUUCCUCACUUGGAAACUUGAUACUGCAAACAGGUUCAAGAAACAUUCUCCUGGAAUGCAGACCAGAAGGCCGCCUUUGCUGGUCCAUUGUCUCCUAGAAGGAGACCCAACCUAUAGAAUCUUCCGGUCAGUGUUUUGAGUUGAAAACCUUGAACAAAAGAGAUCCUCGCCUCUCCCAAAUAUUAGGACCAGAGUUUGGGAAGAAUUAGAACUCAAAACACUCUCCCAGUGGGAGGGGUCAGGGAUCGAUAGAAUCUCCAAUCCAUAUCCCUGCCUCAACCUCCCCGGACUGAGCUUACAGAUCACUUCUCUUUGAGGGAAUUUUGCCCGAUUUAUUUUCUAUCUUUGCCCGCUAGUCCUGGUGCAAUGUACCGUAGAGCCCAAAUGGAAAAUGUAGGAUCGACAAGAAGAGCGAGGGUGGAUAUCAGAACCGCAAUUGGCAAUGGAUUACCGACGUGGCAGGCGGGUAGUAGAUGAGGCAUCAAAAGGAUGAGGAUUCGCAGGACGACAUUGGAUCCCCUGUACCACCAAAUUCUCUGGGGGAGGGGCUCCCCAACUGCACGUCUUGAACUGGCCUGGGGAGGGAGAGGGACGGGCAUGGAAAGGGGGUGGUGAGGUGGGGGGGGGGGAGACGAACGAGGCAGUGACGUCAGACCAGGUAUAGCCAAUCAGAGGCUGGCCUGAGGAAGGAGUGUGAAGGGAUGAAUGAAAAGUCCGGAGCCUGAGAGCGCCCCCGCCAGAGCAGCGGCCAAGGCUGAGGAGGGAGCUGGGACUCGAGACCCUGCUCCACCCUGCCGGCUCCCGCUCGGCCCCGUCACCUGGCAAGCCCCGGCAUCUUCGACCCACGUCCGUGGCGCGGCCUGGGUAGGAAUGCGCCUGAAGACCGCGCAGGACACCACCACCGGGCAUCCUGGGCUUGAUCUACUCCCCUGGGCGGGUGGGUGCUCUACCCUCCCGCCCACUCUCUGAGGACAUGAGGACCAGCGACAUCCAGCACCACGGACAGCUCCCGGCGGUUCCCUGAGUGCCUAGUCCGUGUGCAUGACUGGAGGAGACUCCCAUAGCCUUGCAGAGGGAAAGCAGAUACAACCCACCCCAGACCAUGGCGGUUUCCCUGCAACGAGCCCAGUGGCUUUCUGGAGGACACUUUUCCUGGAGGGAAGCAGUGACUCAGCAUAAGUUCUUGCCUGGCCUCACUUGAGAGUCUCUUCCCGCUGAUCAGCAGAGGUCGUCUCCCUCUUCACCAGACCCUUGCUGCCUACCUGGUCCUUCUAACUGUGCAUUGGGUUUGGAGCACUUUAAACAGUAGAAUGACUGCAAGUCAAGAGCUCAGCCUACAGGAAGGACAACAAAAGGCAGGGUCAGUGCUGGAGAGACUGGACAGACCAAAAAGAAGACCUGACCUCACCCUGAGCACCCCUGUCAUGCAAAGUACGUUUGCAGACUGCCAACUGGCUGGCUCCAGCAAGCAGAAGUGGACGGGGUGGAGGCUCAACCUGGCAGCUUCUCCCCAAAGCCAUGCCUGGUCACUUCCAGCAAGUUGUCCAGCCUGACCAUCCAUUUCCCCUGUCGCCUCUCAGCUGGGUCCCCGAGACCCACCCCAUCUCCAAUAAAGAACGUUGCAUACAGAGCA